AAUGGUUCUGCCUUCAUGAAUGGGUUAUGUCAUGGGAGUGGGUUGGUUGUGGCAAGAGCAGGUUUGCUGUCAGCGCAGCCUCCUCUUGCCACUGUCUCCUCAUGCUUGCUCACUUGCCCUUCCGGCCCAUUAUUACACAGCAAGGAGGCUCUCACCAGAUGCUGAACAGAUGCCAGUGCCAUGCUCUUGGACUUCCUGCCCUCUAGGAUUGUGAGCCAAGUGCCCAAAUGUAAAAGCUUGGGGGUCACUCUUUACUCUUCUGUGCUUCACGCUUCAUGUCCAGUCCAUUGGUGGAUUCUGUCUGCUCAGCCUUCAAGAGGUAUCUGGGACCCAUGGCACCACCCUUCCCACAUCACCACUCCACCAGCCCACCAGCUCCUGCUCCUGAGUUAGGGAUGACCCCUAACCAGCCUCCUGUUUCCAUGAAGACCUUUAACCAUCUAUGCUCAACCCAGAAGCCUGGAUGGGCCUGUGAUCUACUGGGUCAGGUCCCAGCCCCUCCAUCACUCCACCCUCCAGUGAGUUCCCAUCCUACCCAGAGCAAAAUCUGUUCAUGUUGGAGACUUAAAUUUGUUCAUUAUGUUUUUUGUUGUUGUGUUGUUUUUAGAUCCCUGCUGUAUUUUGGUGAGAAAUGACAAUGCCUUAAAUAGUGGCAGGAAUUGAGAGGGGGAGACAGACAAAAGAGAUGAAACAGAGAAA
rnacentral:lncRNA from 1 species